GAUGAACGCUGGCGGCGUGCCUAAUACAUGCAAGUCGAGCGAACAGACGAGGCGCUUGCUCCUCUGACGUUAGCGGCGGACGGGUGAGUCACACGUGGAUAAUCUACCUAUCUGACUGGGAUAACUUCGGGACACCGGAGCUAAUACCGGAUAAUAUAUUGCACCGCAUGGUUCAAUAGUGAAAUACGGCUUUGCUGUCACUUAUCGCUGGAUCCGGGCUGCAUGAGCUAGUUGGUACGGUAACGGCUUAUCAAGGCAACGAGGCGUAGCCGACCUGCGUGGGUGAUCGGCCGCACGGGAGGGUGAACGGGGACCAGACGCCUGCGGGACGCGGCAGAAGGGAAUCGGCCGCAGUGGGCGAAAGCCUGACGGAGCAACGCCGCGUGAGUGAUGGAGGUCUUCGGUGCGGAAAACUCUGUUAUGAGGGAAGAACAAAUGUGGAAGGUGCUAAGCACGGCGUGACGGUACCGAAUCAAAAAGCCACGGCUAACUACGUG
rnacentral:rRNA from 1 species